CCUAGGGGAGGCAGCAGUGGGGAAUAUUGGACAAUGGGCGAAAGCCUGAUCCAGCCAUGCCGCGUGUGUGAAGAAGGCCUUCGGGUUGUAAAGCACUUUCAGUGGGGAAGAAAGCCUUGGGGCUAAUACCCUCGAGGAAGGACAUCACCCACAGAAGAAGCACCGGCUAACUCCGUGCCAGCAGCCGCGGUAAUACGGAGGGUGCGAGCGUUAAUCGGAAUUACUGGGCGUAAAGCGCGCGUAGGCGGUCUGAUAAGCCGGUUGUGAAAGCCCCGGGCUCAACCUGGGAACGGCAUCCGGAACUGUCAGGCUAGAGUGCAGGAGAGGAAGGUAGAAUUCCCGGUGUAGCGGUGAAAUGCGUAGAGAUCGGGAGGAAUACCAGUGGCGAAGGCGGUCUUCUGGACUGACACUGACGCUGAGGUGCGAAAGCGUGGGUAGCAAACAGGAUUAGAUACCCCAGUAGUC
rnacentral:rRNA from 1 species